GCCCGAAGCCGACUAUCUAACCUUUUGGAAGAAGUCGUCGAAGGUGGAAUCAAUAACUGGGGUGAAGUCGUAACAAGGUAGCCGUAUCGGAAGGUGCGGCUGGAUCACCUCCUUUCUAAGGAGA
rnacentral:rRNA from 1 species